AACACUCUUAUUUAGAGAUUUUUAUUUUUCCAGUAUGAUGAGGUUACUAGAAGUUAACCGCAAAAUUUUUAGUUUCAUUGGCAGAAGUGAAAAAAUGAAACGUAAUAAAAGCAUCCCAUUAAAUUUAACCACCAAAAAAAUUUUAUGUCCAUGAUUAGGAUGAAUGAUUAGUGUUUUCUACCCACUUUUGGACGAGGCUAAUUUUUAGAUUAAUUUUGAUUCAUACCUCAGCGAAAACAGAAAACGAAACUGACAUUUAUAUUCGACAACACAGAGGAAAGCGAAUGAAAAACCCUCAAUAGCUCUAAUGGGGGUCAGUCCGCACAUAUUUCAUGAAACAAAGUUCCAUUUGUACAGUGCAAGGAAAAACGGCGGGGUGAAUGAGUGAACGAACAAAUGUGACAGCAAGUGAUUAGUUACUCAGCCAUAAUAAUGAAAUGCAAAACCACAAUCACGCGCGACAAGUGACCGGAAAUUUUGUCACCAAGCCAAGCGCUAAAAACGAAUGUUGCGAUUACUUCGGGCGGUGGUGGUUUGUUUGCCGUUUGUUGAAUUUAGUUCAAACUUUGGUUAAUUAAUAAUUUUUGUUUUAUUAUUAUGAAAAUGGCCAUAAAAACAUAAAUUAUAUAUGAGAA